CUGGUCGCCCCUGGCCUGAAUGUGUGGGUUUAGUCAAGAUGUGGAUGAGACUAACACAAGGCUCACAGAAACUGACACCCUUUGAAAUAGUACAUGGGCGACCCUUCCCUCUACCCAUUACAAGUGAACCGAUAGAUAAAUCCAUAAGAGAAUCAACACUAGCAGAAUGGAUGACAAAACUGUUAGGAAACAGAGAAAUAGUUUUGAACAAUCAACUGCCAGAUGAUUCUCUUCCAGUCUCUUCCAGGUUGAAACCAGGAGAUUGGAUCCUGAUAAAAGUGCUCCAGAGGAAAAAUUGGAGUUGUCCGAGAUGGGAAGGACCUUACCAAGUACUCCUGACCACUCCCACAGCCUGCAAAAUUGCUGAACGACCUUCCUGGAUUCAUCAGAGCCACUGUAAAAAAGUGAGCGACAGCGCACACUAAGACGCCAGCACCCCUACUUGUGAGUGAUCUGGGAGGUGGAGAAAGGGCUGUUUGGGUAAAUCCCGCCCUUGGUCUUCUCGCCCCUAGUCUACUCACUCACAGGACCAGGUGUGUUCGGUCAUCAUGAAGACCCUACUCGUUCUGGUGGCCAGUGUCACGAUUCUGUUGGGACUACUGUUGCUGAUUCCAGAAGAAGAAGAACAGCACCACCUGGAGACAAGACUGACACAUGACACAAUACAUCCAGACGACAUGACGCAAGAUCACCACCACCCAUGGAUGAACAAUGCCUGGUACCGUUAUGUGUACAACUCCACAAGAGACAAAAACUGUUACAUCUGUUCACACAUGCCUCUCACUGCAAAACACUUGACCCUGUACGGCACACCCGCACCACUAAAUGAAGGACUGUGCAUAUAUGAGAAAGCAGCCCGCGGCCAUUGUGAUAACCAAACGAUGAGAAAAUUGGAGAAGUGGAUAUGUCUGGGAGACCCUAACAUCCAGAGCAUCAACGUCACCGCAGCAGUGGGACAAGAAGACCCAAGCUAUCUGAUGGACCUAUGCACUAACAUCACCAACACGUCAGAGUCUAACAGGUACACAUACGCCUGUAAGGAAAAACACUGGGUGAAUAUGUCACUCAGCACCCCAAACAUCACUGUGCUGGCUGUGGUGACCACGUACACAUUUCCCUUAUGUGUCGUGUUUGGCAACAUCACCAAAGGAGCAACUCACUACAGCUUAUCUGGCACAUGCCAAUACACCCUGACAGUAACAACUCGUACAAAGAAACUCUACUGGGUCGAGGGGACCGGCUGGUGGUGUCAAGGAUAUGACAAACAACCUCAAACAUACCUAGCCGUGCCUGAAAACUAUGAGGGACAAUGUGUGCCACUGAUGCUAAGCGAUCACACCUUCAAGAUAACAGCAGGAGCAGCCCGUGCACGGACACGCCGAAGACGAGCAAUACAACCACACGACCCAAUUUGGGGCUCUGACGUCCCAGAGGAAUUCAAGCUUUGGACCACAGGACAAAAGACCGUCCAUGCCCUUUUCCCAGGGGUAGGAGUUGGAAAGCACGCCCUUAGAAUUGAGACUCUGAAUUACCGUUUUGGACUGUUCCUGAAUGCAUCUUGUAAAGUGAACAGCGCGCAGAAUGAAGAAAUCGACGCCCUGCGCCUUAGCACAAUGCAACACCGUGUCGCUUUGGACAUGAUUUUGGCUGAGAAAGGAGG
rnacentral:lncRNA from 1 species